AUGCGGACGGGGAGGGAGUUUUUGCACGCCGGGACGCGGGCUUCGCCUCACCGUGACAAAGUAGGUGGUAUCGAUGCGUGGGGCAACGGAGUCGUCGUCACCGUCUCCUCCGAGCCCCCCGGUCCCCCCAGCCUCUUCCCGCUGGCCCCCUGCGGCACCCCCGCCACCCAGGAGCUCUACGCGGUGGGCUGCCUGGCCGUGGCCUUCCUCCCCGACGACCUCGCCUUCGCCUGGAGCGACCGCGCCAACCGCACCGUGACCCGAGGGGUGACCGCCUUCCCCUCCGUCCCCGCCGCCGGCGGCCGCUACGCGGCCGCCGCCGCCCUCAGCCUCCCCUUCGCCGACGGGAAGGGCCAGCAGCCCUUCUACUGCCACGCCACCCACCCCCAGGGAAAGUCCGUCGUCAAGGUGGUCAACCCAAGCACCACCGUCCCGCCGCUCCCCGACGUCCCCGUCGUCACCCUCCACCCGCCGUCCCGCGAGGACUUCGACGGCCCUUACCGCAACGCCAGCGUCCUCUGCCGCGUCCGCUCCCGCCGCCCGCCGCCCCAAAUCCGCUGGCUGAAAAACGGGGCGCCCUCCCAAGACGGCGUCGCCACCGAACCUUCGGCUGCCGACGCCGGCGGCGCGGCCGUCACCGACAGCCGGCUCACCGUCACCGAAGCCGAGUGGGACGCCGGUGUCGUCUACACCUGCCAAGUGGGCGAGGAGUUGAGGAACACCAGCAAGGCCUUGGAGUGCGGUUACCUCCCCUUGCCCGUCACCGACGAGAUCGCGGUGGAGGCGGUGGCCCCCGCCUUCGCCGACGUCUUCAAGGAGAAGGCGGCCAAGCUGACGUGCAAGGUGGCCAACCUGCCGAGCGCGGAAGGGCUGGCGGUGUCGUGGUGGAAGGAGAACGGCGAGAAGCUGGAGACCAAGACCUCCCCCCAACUCCUCCAACCCAACGGGCUCUUCGGCGUGGCCGGCGUGGCCAGCGUCUGCGCCGACGAGUGGGACAAGGGCGAGGUCUACACGUGCAAGGUCAGCCACCCCGAGCUCCUCUUCCCCACCGAGGUGAAGCUGCAGAAGGCCGUGGGCCGCGACGCCCGAGCCCCCUCCGUCUACGUCUUCCCCCCUCCGCCCGAACAACUCGCCCUCCACAAAACCGCCACCCUCACCUGCCUGGUGAAGGGCUUCAACCCUCCCGACCUCUUCGUCCGCUGGCUCCGCAACGGCGAACCCUUGCCCCCCGCCGACUACGUCACCGCGCCGCCCCUCGCCGACUCCCAGCCGCCCGCCGCCUUCUUCACCUACAGCUCCCUGACCGUCAGCGGCGAGGACUGGGGGGCCGGCAACGUCUUCACCUGCCUGGUGGGCCACGAGCAAAUCCCCUUGCAGGUGGCGCAGAAAUCCGUGGACAAAGCUUCGGGUAAACCCACCGCCGUCAACGUGUCCCUGGUGCUCUCCGACACCGCCGCCGCCUGCUAUUAAAUCCCCUUCCCUCGGCUCUUGGGGUCUUUUGCUUCUUUAUUGUCGGGGUUUCCCCCCUUUUUUCCCCCCCUUUUGGUUUAUUUGGGUUUAUUUUGGGGGGUUUUGGGUUUAUUUGGGUUUAUUUUAGUUUA